rnacentral:rRNA from 1 species
ACGGGAGGCAGCAGUGGGGAAUAUUGCACAAUGGGCGCAAGCCUGAUGCAGCGACGCCGCGUGAGUGAAGAAGUAUUUCGGUAUGUAAAGCUCUAUCAGCAGGAAAGAAAAUGACGGUACCUGACUAAGAAGCCCCGGCUAACUACGUGCCAGCAGCCGCGGUAAUACGUAGGGGGCAAGCGUUAUCCGGAUUUACUGGGUGUAAAGGGAGCGUAGACGGUUUUGCAAGUCUGAAGUGAAAUGCCGGGGCUCAACCCCGGAACUGCUUUGGAAACUGUAGAACUAGAGUGCAGGAGAGGUAAGUGGAAUUCCUAGUGUAGCGGUGAAAUGCGUAGAUAUUAGGAGGAACACCGGUGGCGAAGGCGACUUUCUGGACUGUAACUGACACUGAGGUACGAAAGCGUGGGGAGCAAACAGGAUUAGAUACCCUGGUA